rnacentral:piRNA from 1 species
GCAACUUACGAAAGGAAGAAUGUGUCUG